rnacentral:rRNA from 1 species
AUUGAACGCUGGCGGCAGGCUUAACACAUGCAAGUCGAGCGGGGGAAGGUAGCUUGCUACCGGACCUAGCGGCGGACGGGUGAGUAAUGCUUAGGAAUCUGCCUAUUAGUGGGGGACAACAUCUCGAAAGGGAUGCUAAUACCGCAUACGUUCUACGGGAGAAAGCAGGGGAUCUUCGGACCUUGCGCUAAUAGAUGCGCCUAAGUCGGAUUAGCUAGUUGGUGGGGUAAAGGCCUACCAAGGCGACGAUCUGUAGCGGGUCUGAGAGGAUGAGCCGCCACACUGGGACUGAGACACGGCCCAGACUCCUACGGGAGGCAGCAGUGGGGAAUAUUGGACAAUGGGGGGAACCCUGAUCCAGCCAUGCCGCGUGUGUGAAGAAGGCCUUAUGGUUGUAAAGCACUUUAAGCGAGGAGGAGGCUACUUUAGUUAAUACCUAGAGAUAGUGGACGUUACUCGCAGAAUAAGCACCGGCUAACUCUGUGCCAGCCGCCGCAGUAA